UGGUGGCAAUUCAGUUUGUCAGAGAAAAACGCUAUAGGCCUCUCGUUCUGCUCGUCAUCCCGUUGGAAGAGUACGGCUCCUACCCCAUACUGUGAGGCGUCGCACUGUAUGUAAAAGUGCCGCUUAAAAUCCGCGUGUACCAGGACUGGUGCCGAGGGCGUCUGUGAGCGGCCCGCCCAUCUCAGCAUAGUUUUUCAUAAAGCGCCGGUACCAGCCCGCAGUUCCCAGGAAACUACGCAAUUCUCGAACAGAUUGCGGCUCGGGAAUGCGCAAAAUGGCCGACACACGAUCCGGAUCCAUCUUCAGCGCUCUUCCUCCCACUAUAAAUCCCAGACGCUCGGCAACCUGUCGCAGAAUCUUCACGUGCGUUUG